CACCCAUAAUUGCCUGUGAUCUUGCAGCUUUCUAGUUUUCAUCUUGAUCUCGUGUUCCCCUAUAAAUGGUGCUUGGAGGGGCUGGUUUUGGGUGUUUUGAGGUCUCUCUCUACAGGUUCUUUCCUUCAUAAAACACCAUUUCCAUACUUAUUGCUACUGAUGUGAUUGAACCUUUGCUGUGAUGUGAUUUUGGGUGCACAUCUCGAUCCAUGUGAAGCUGUUGGGUUUGGGGAGUUUUGGGGAGUUUUGGGGAGGAUGUUUCCUGGUGUCUGAGCAGAGAGUGGUAUCCAAUCUGUGAGACAGGAGCAGCUGUACCUGCAGGAAGAGCCUGGGGGGAGUGGGUUUUUGCUGAAGUGGAGAGGAAUAAAAGCAAGAGAAUCACGACUGAAAAGCCCAGAGAACAGGAGCUGGAGCCCUCCUUGCAGCAGGACAGGUAUUUUACCAGCUGGCAACACACGGUGGAGAUUUCUGCACUGCUCAGAAGGUCUGGUUGAAAUUUUGUGCAAGUUCAGCUCCAUGGGGCUUGGCAAUUUCACACUCUCAUCGUGGAAGAGAUUUCAAGAAAGGCUCCUCCUGUCCAGGAAGCCAUGGGCCAUUUACUGUGCAGUUUGUGCUCUCAGGUGCUUCUGUUCCUUGCUGACAUGAAUUCCUUGUGCAGUUCAGACUCGAACCUUCUUUGUAGGCUGGAAUGAAGAGCAGCUUCUCCUGAAUUCUGUCGAAUUUGGCAGCUGUUCCACACCUCUGAACUUGAAUGUUGCAGUAAAGUCAACCCCAAAGUAAGCAACACCUACCUGGGGAAAGUGAAGGAUGCAUUCAUCAAAAUCCACCAUGUUUGUGAUGCUCCACUCCUCAUUCUGAGAAAAAUGGCAGAAAUCCUGUCCAAGCAGGAGAGGGAGAGGCCCUAUUCCUUAUCCCAGAGCCAGUGGAGGUCAAGAGGCUGAAGCCAUUUCCACAUGAGAGCAGUGCUGCUGGCAGGAUGGGGCACCUUACCUGAUCUCUUACCAUCAUGAUGGACAAUAGGAACAAAAUCCUCCAGUCCAGGUCCUCCUGUGCCAGUCUGGAUAUUUCACUAAUGAGAGAGCUCACAGGAAUCUAUGGAAACCAGUGGGAAUGCAUUGUUGCUCCCUCAGGACAGGAUUCUACCCUGUGGUUCUUCAGUCUUUCUAUUUGUCACUGUCAUUUUCACCUGUUUUCACUGAAUGUCUUCUCCACAGGCUAUUUUCACUUGGAAUUGGAGAUAUUUGCUGCUGUCAGGCCCAGAGCAGACAGGAACUCCUCUGAGGAGCUCUGCUCAUUGCAGAGAUGGGAACUGCUGACAUACUCGAAUAAUGGAAAUUCUCAAAGUAUUUUCCCCCCUGCCUUUUCUACACCAGAUUCCCAACAAAUGCCCUGGGUUCCUGGGUUAGUCAUGAGGAGUGGGCACAUGUUCAGCUUCUAUUCUCAUGCUCUUGAAAACUGCAUUGGAACAGACCCUGUUAACAAAAGCAAUGCUCCAGUUCAUUCUCAGAGAAAGAGAGGACCCAGUGCCAAGCUCAGACCCAGGGCUGGGCUGACCUCUGCUUAAGGAGUGGGGAUCAGGUUUCCACUGCCAGUCCAUCUCUUGUUUGGCCCUACACCUCUGGAAAAGGGGAGGAAGCAUCAUGAAAAGAAACAACACAAUAACAUCUUCCCAGUGAUCUGCCAUUAACCUCUGUGUGGGCUUAAAGCAAUAUUGCACAAGAACAAAAAUCAGCAGAUACUUUCCCAAAGGCAGUCAAAAACUGUUCUUUAUCCACUCAGAUCUUUGCUGCCUGGGGCUAUCUGAGUCAUUCUUCUCACUAAAGUCUGAGGAUGAAUUUCUUUCUCUUACUGUGAAAAGUUUACAUUUAGAAGACUCAUGCAUGAAGGACCAAAAGACAUUUGGUUUGGCUGCACAGUAAAAGAGUUUAGUGUCUUCAUUGCUUCAUUACUUCAUCCUGGUUGCUAAAGAUCAGCUUCCUCAUAGCUGCUGUUAAAAUCUGUGCUGAGGCUCUGUACACUGACACAUGCUGCAAAAUGUGCAGUUUGCAGCAAUUCUUUCCUGUGCUGGAACAGC